rnacentral:rRNA from 1 species
CAUGCCUAACACAUGCAAGUCGAACGAGACCUUCGGGUCUAGUGGCGCACGGGUGCGUAACGCGUGGGAAUCUGCCCUUAGGUUCGGAAUAACUCAGGGAAACUUGAGCUUAAUACCGGAUAAUGACUUCGGUCCAAAGAUUUAUCGCCUAGGGAUGAGCCCGCGUAGGAUUAGCUAGUUGGUGAGGUAAAGGCUCACCAAGGCUACGAUCCUUAGCUGGUCUGAGAGGAUGAUCAGCCACACUGGGACUGAGACACGGCCCAGACUCCUACGGGAGGCAGCAGUGGGGAAUAUUGGACAAUGGGCGAAAGCCUGAUCCAGCAAUGCCGCGUGAGUGAUGAAGGCCUUAGGGUUGUAAAGCUCUUUUACCAGGGAUGAUAAGACAGUACCGGAGAAUAAGUCCGGCUAA